CUGAACCUUUUUGCCCCUGAAAUCCCAUCCUCUAGUGCAGCUAUCACCCAUGUAUAGCCUUGUGUACCCCUUGAUUGUGAGUGGGCUCCGACUGCUCCCUGGCUUCUGCCUCUUUCCCUCUAAUCCAUCUUCCACAUAGCAGCUAGAAUGGGCCUUGAAAAAGGUGCAUGGAUCAUGUUCCCUACAUGCAAACACCUUCUAUAGCUCUCCAGUGGGAGUAGCAUAAAGUUCAACUCCUGGCCCUGGCCCGAGGCCCUUGGAGCAGCAUCUGUCUGCAGCUCUGACAUCAAAGGACCUCCCAGCUUUCAGGGAUGUCACUGGCUGGAGGUAGUUCAGCUCUCUAGGGAGCCACGUACUGGGCCAUCAUGUUCUUGAUCAUGCUUUUCCUCUGUCGGGAGCAUGUGCCUCCUGCUCUUGUUCCCGUGAACUUCUCGUUAUCGUUAGGACUGGCUGACAUAGAACUCCCACAGAGGGUUCUUCUGGACCCCCCAUGCUAACGAGGCCCCUGCUGUCUUCCUUACAUCACUUGUGCUCUUCCUUCGUGGCAUUUACCAUGGUUGGAGUGUUGAGGAUCCCCAAGACCAUCCCUACAUUUGAGAUCUGCUGGAAGGAUGCACAGGACUUGGCGUAUAGUUGUGUUAACAGCUAAGAUUGAUGACAGUGACGUAACAAAGAUCUACAGCUGGAUCACAAGGGAAAAGAAGCAGAGUCUGGAGAACACAUGGAUGGUUUCCCGAUGCUCUCCCUCCCAUGGCAGGGUCCCACAAUGCACGCUCCUCCCCCAGCAGUGAAAAUGCAGCAGCACAUGUGUGAGGAUUCUGCCCAGGGGAGCCCAGUGGAGACUCAGCACCCAAAGUUUUUCUUGGGGACUGUUUAUCUAGGCAUCCUCUGCCUAGCACAUGCCAAAUUUCACACCCCUAGAAGAAAGGCAGUGUUCAGCCUAGACCAUAUUGUUUUCAUAGCUAGGCAUAAGGAGUCAGCUCAUCAGCUAGCUGUUGACUCGGAGUGUGCUGGGAGCCAGGUUCCCAGAUGCCAGUCAGGGGCCACCUCGCAAGCAGAUUUCUUCGUAUUUUUUCAACCUUGGUUCCUCUAGUCUAAACGUUAAUGAUAACACCUACCCAAGUGAGUUAUUGGGAAGAUUAAGUGAAAUAAUGUAUGUGAACCCCACAUGUAUGCUCUUAACAGCCACAAGACUGAAAAAAAUUAUAAAAGGCUAUGACUUCGGGGUUUCUUUUUCUUUUUUUUUUUUUUUUGUAAAAGCUAAACUCAUACAAGAAAAUGUCUUUUAAGGCAACACGUGAAGAGAGAAAAAAAAAUUUCCUUAGAUUAAGAAAAAAGGUAGUAUGUUUUAGUUCACCCUAACUAUGGACAAAUGAGUCGCAGCUCAUCUUCAUGACUGAGAAUAGAGUUAGGAGCUGAAUUAGAGAAUAAUCCAAUAGAAUUUUAGCCUCCCUCCUCUUUUAGCUUUGGAAAGCCUGAGCAGAUGGAGAAAGUUUGUUUGGUUUGUGCACUUAAUUACCUCAUUAUUUUGCUUCUCUCUUUUGUUACAUAUUAAGCAUCAAGCACUGUAGUAAGAUCUGAGCAGUCAAGAGUGACUGAAGACCCAGUCUCAGCUCUUAGCUGUUCUAGAUCUGCAGUUGAUAUCACUGAAAGAAUUUUCUGUCUGUAUUAAACAUAAACAAACUCAUGGGUAGAUUAGCAUGACCUAACAGAUCUUUGUUAUGGACUUAAUUGUCUCCCCUCUAAAUUCAUGUGGUGAAGUUCUAACCCCCUGUGCCUUAGAAUGUGACUAUUUUUGGAGACAUAUUCUUUACAGAGGUAAUUAAGUUAAAAUGAGGUCAUGAGAAUGGACCCUAAUCCAAUAUGACUAGUGUCCUCAUAAGAAGAGGAGAUUAGGAGACAGACAUGCACAGGGGGAAGACCAUGUGAAGGCACAGCAAGAAGACAGCCAUCUAAAAGCCAAGAAGAUGAUGCCUGUAAUCCCAGC
rnacentral:lncRNA from 10 species